rnacentral:rRNA from 1 species
CGACCGAGACCCCAUGUCAGGCGGAUUACCCG